ACUAUCCACUACAAUGCUCUUCCACCGUAGAACAUUCACCAUUUUCGUUCGAAUCUGAAAACCUCACCUAUAAGUCUGAUAAUUAUCCUUGUAUAAAUUUUAAAAUCAUAAUUUCCUUAAAUUUGUGUGAAUUACGAUCUCAAGGUUAGUUAGAACUCUCUCCCCCAAACUCAUGCCCUAACAUUUAGCUAUUAUUGAUUGAACUUAGGGGCAUGUGGCAAGAAAAUAGGUCAUUUAGUUCAAAGGAAGACAUUAACUUCGUAGGUUGGGAACAACUUAAACAGAUGCUGCAGUCAUUAAAAUAUAAGAUGGCCAAAGAUUCUUACUAACUUUUGACUGUAUGCCCACAGUGUGUGGAUCACCCGUAACUGUAAGGUUGUUUAAGAUAUCCUGUUCUUAUCUUUAGCUCAAAUGGUUCUUGCUUUCCUUGCUUUGUGUUAGGAGUUUACUGUUUGGCAGACUGGGUUAGUGAGGUAACUUAAGAAACCUUUGGAUUAGUUUGAAGGAAUUGCAGGACCAGAUACAAUUGGUUCCUAUUGAUCUACAAAAUAGGCCUUCUUGGUAUAAGGAGAAAGUCUACCCACCCAACAAGGUCAUAUUACCUAUGUGCCAAAACCGAGCCAUCUUGAUCUUAUAUUUGUUUUGAAAAAUAGUGUACCACAUCUAAAUAGUGAUGUUUUGAUGUACUUCGAAAUCCAGGUUCCAACUUUGGAACACAAUAAUGAAGUUAGGGGAGAGAGUCUUGAUCUGAUUAAAUAUAUUGACAUUCACUUUGAAGGGCCCUCCGUUUUGCCAAGUGUAGGAUAGUUAUCUGAUUUGCAUUGAACUACUGUGUUUAGAAAUUUACUAUGUGAUGA